GCUGGCGUAGCUCAGCUGGUAGAGCAGCUGAUUUGUAAUCAGCAGGUCGGGGGUUCGAGUCCCUCCAUCGGCU
rnacentral:tRNA from 1 species